UGGGGCAAAACUCAAAAAAUAAGUCUCAGUUCGGAUUGAAGGCUGAAAUUCGCCUUCAUGAAGCCGGAAUUGCUAGUAAUGGCAGGUCAGCAUACUGCCGUGAAUACGUUCCCGGGCCUUGUACACACCGCCCGUCACACCAUGAGAGUUGGGAAUACCCGAAGCCUGUGAGCUAACUUUUAGAGGCAGCAGUCGAAGGUAGAAUCAAUGAUUGGGGUGAAGUCGUAACAAGGUACC
rnacentral:rRNA from 1 species